CUUUGCUUCAAUGGCAUCCUUUUGUCCAUGUCAUUCCUACCAGAUUCAUGCCAUGGGCUCAAAGUAAUUUGGCAGCAAUUUCAAAGAGGAGGAGGGAAAGGGAAACAGAAACAUGUGGCAUUAAAGAAUCUGCAAAGUGCUACAAUCAAGAUGGAAACAGAGCACAACUUGGACAACAAGCCCCACAAGCAUUAGGGGUGAGGCAAAGAUUUCUUCUAAUGUUCCAGCCACAGAGAAAGAUGAAUUUGUGGGAGACAGCAAGUGACAACACGACCCUGGGAUUCAACUAAAAGACCCUGGGGUUCAACUGAAAUUCCAAUGGGGAGGAAAAAUUGAAGCACCUUGCCAUGCUCCAUGACCACACGGUGGACUUGAGCCUCCUUCUAUGUAUUUUGUGAACAAACAUUAUUGCACUCAAAAGGCAAACUAUAUAAUUAAUGGGAACUUAAAUUGGCUCUCAUGAUAGUACUUUCUUCUUCCCUUAAAGAAGAACUGAACCACCCAAGGACACACUGAGGCUUGGACAUUUUUCUUGGAUGGAUCAAUUUGUCUGUUUUACUUUCUUGACACCAGGUUUUGCCUAGAUGAACCUUCUGGCCAAUUUCCUAUCACCAACUGUGUGGGCAGGGAAUUUCUUGUGAAAUGCAUAGUAGAAUAUCUAUGGUUCCCCAUAGCAUUCUUUCGCCCUUCACAAUAGUAUGCAAAUUGUGCUGUGGUCAAACCUGCUGAUUUUUUUGUGUUGUGCUUUUUGUAUGUUGCCUAAGCAGUUGAUUUUCCAUUCCAUUUUCUUAUAUUGUGAAAUUUCAGGUGAAGGCAAGGAGGCACUGGAACUCCAUUUCUUUCUGCAGGAGCACAGCUUGGACAAAAAGCCCCACUAGCAUUAGGGGUGAGGAAAAGAUUUCAGUUAAUGUUCCAUCUACAUCAACCCCAGUCAGAGAAAGGUGAAUUUGCAGAGACGGCAAGUGACAACAUGACUUGAAGUGAGAGCCACAUGGAAUCUGGAGAAAUCAAGAGUAAGGCUAUGCUAUGCCAAGGCAUUUUCCCUUCUUCCUGAUGGGUUGCCCAUUCCUUUCAUCAACUGUCUGAUUGUUUGACCCACUCCCAGCUAUAUGUUCACCAAACAGGAAAUCACAAUAUGUUGGCCAGUUUUUGUCUGAACUCUAUCCAAACGGUUUUGAAAUGAAAGCAGUAAAAGCCAUAGUGGAAGAAGAAGAAGAUGGCUCUCCUGCCUUUCUUUUCAUUAUCUC
rnacentral:lncRNA from 11 species